CGUAAGCCCUAGGCGACCGGCUCUGCGCCGCAGUCGGACCAGCUCCCUCCCAAGCCUACUCGCCAGGGGGCGGAGCUUAGAGCUCAAGGCUCCUGAUUGGCCGUCCCGCGGGCACUCCCCUUCCCCGCCCCUUGACGAGGGUGAGAGGUCAGCAGCCGGCAAGUCUGCGGGGUGGACGAUGGCGGGGCAGUGGGUCAGGACCGUGGCGCUGUUGGCGGCCAGGCGGCAUUGGCGGCGGUCCUCGCAGCAGCAAUUGCUGGGGACGCUGAAGCAUGCUCCAGUCUAUUCAUACCAAUGCCUAGUGGUGUCCAGAAGUCUCAGUUCUGUGGAAUAUGAGCCUAAAGAAAAGACUUUUGAUAAAAUUCUCAUUGCUAACAGAGGAGAAAUUGCCUGUAGGGUUAUUAAAACUUGCAAGAAGAUGGGCAUCAAGACAGUUGCCAUUCACAGUGAUGUUGAUGCCAGUUCUGUUCACGUGAAAAUGGCGGAUGAGGCUGUCUGUGUUGGCCCAGCUCCCACCAGUAAAAGCUACCUCAACAUGGAUGCCAUCAUGGAAGCCAUUAAGAAAACCAGGGCCCAAGCUGUACACCCAGGGUAUGGAUUCCUGUCAGAAAACAAAGAGUUUGCAAAGCGUCUGGCAGCAGAAGAUGUCACUUUCAUUGGACCUGAUACUCAUGCUAUUCAAGCCAUGGGUGACAAGAUAGAAAGCAAACUAUUAGCCAAGAGAGCAAAGGUCAACACAAUCCCUGGUUUUGAUGGGGUAGUAAAGGAUGCAGAUGAAGCUGUCAGAAUUGCAAGGGAAAUUGGCUACCCUGUGAUGAUCAAGGCCUCAGCAGGCGGUGGUGGGAAAGGCAUGCGCAUCGCCUGGGAUGACGAAGAGACCAGGGAUGGCUUUAGAUUUUCAUCCCAGGAAGCUGCUUCUAGUUUUGGUGAUGAUAGACUACUAAUAGAAAAAUUUAUCGAUAACCCUCGUCAUAUAGAAAUCCAGGUUUUAGGGGAUAAACAUGGCAAUGCUCUGUGGCUCAAUGAGAGGGAGUGCUCGAUCCAGAGAAGGAACCAGAAGGUGGUAGAGGAGGCGCCAAGCAUUUUUCUGGAUCCUGAAACUCGCCAAGCAAUGGGAGAGCAGGCCGUGGCUUUGGCUAAAGCCGUGAAGUAUUCUUCUGCUGGAACUGUGGAAUUUCUUGUGGACUCCCAGAAGAAUUUUUACUUCUUGGAGAUGAAUACAAGACUACAGGUCGAACAUCCUGUCACAGAGUGCAUUACUGGCCUGGACUUAGUCCAAGAAAUGAUCCUUGUUGCUAAGGGUUACCCACUCAGGCACAAGCAAGAGGAUAUUCCCAUCAGUGGCUGGGCAGUUGAAUGUCGGGUUUAUGCUGAGGACCCCUACAAGUCUUUCGGUUUACCGUCUAUUGGGAGGCUGUCCCAGUACCAAGAGCCGAUACAUCUACCUGGUGUCCGAGUUGACAGUGGCAUCCAACCAGGAAGUGACAUCAGCAUCUAUUAUGAUCCUAUGAUUUCAAAGCUAGUCACAUAUGGGUCUGACAGAGCAGAAGCCCUGAAGAGGAUGGAAGACGCACUGGACAAUUAUGUGAUCCGGGGUGUUACACACAACAUCCCAUUGCUCCGGGAGGUGAUAAUCAACACACGUUUUGUGAAAGGAGACAUCAGCACUAAGUUUCUCUCUGAUGUGUAUCCUGAUGGCUUCAAAGGGCACACGUUAACACUGAGUGAGAGAAACCAGUUAUUGGCCAUUGCAUCAUCUGUAUUUGUGGCAUCCCAGCUACGAGCUCAGCGCUUCCAAGAACAUUCAAGAGUACCAGUUAUUAGGCCUGAUGUGGCUAAGUGGGAGCUCUCGGUAAAGUUACAUGAUGAAGAUCAUACUGUCGUGGCAUCUAACAAUGGGCCGGCAUUUACCGUGGAAGUUGAUGGCUCGAAACUAAAUGUGACCAGUACGUGGAACCUGGCGUCACCCUUAUUGUCUGUCAACGUUGAUGGCACGCAGAGGACUGUGCAGUGUCUUUCUCGGGAAGCAGGUGGAAACAUGAGCAUCCAGUUUCUUGGCACAGUGUACAAAGUGCACAUUUUAACCAAGCUUGCUGCAGAGCUGAACAAAUUCAUGCUUGAAAAAGUGCCCAAGGACACCAGCAGCACUCUGUGCUCCCCGAUGCCUGGAGUGGUGGUGGCCGUUUCUGUCAAGCCUGGAGACAUGAUGCCAGGUGAAAUGAGUCAAGAGCGGCCGUGAGCACUGAGCUCCAAGCCUGCUUGUCAGCAGUGCCUCUCCUCCGUGCCAGAACCAGAAGCCUUGGCAUCUCCUCUCUUCCUAUAUUCCCGUGCCAGGAAAACACAGCCCACCACCUGAACAGCAGAGGAAAGAAUGCACAGGGCUGCAGUACUCACACUGCCAGCAAGACAGCUUGUGCCACACAGGGAGCCGGGAGGGGACUUGGAGAUCAUUUGGGGAUGGCAGGAAAGAACAUUCUCCAGGCCCUUCUGUGGCAUUGGCCAGCACAGCCACAGUAAUGCGACUGUCCAGGAGCCCCGGCCACCAUACCAGCAGUGCCCCAUGGAGCCAUCAGCCUACCACUUCAUAGAGUAGCAGAAGGUCAGGAAAUCUGUGUGAUUGAAGCUAUGAAAAUGCAGAACAGUAUGACAGCUGGGAAAAUGGGCAAGGUGAAAUUGGUGCACUGCAAAGCUGGAGACACAGUUGGUGAAGGAGACCUGCUUGUGGAGCUGGAAUGAAGUAUUUCUAGCCUUUCCGUCAGCACUGCUCACUGCUUUAACUGGCGUCUCCAUUAUUCUCUAACCCUCAAUUUGCGCAAGCAUUUACAGGAGCACUCCUGUGCAGGAGGUUCUACAGCCUCCUGUUUAUUCCUCAGAAGAGGCAAAACCGACAUUCUGCCAACAAAUCACCAAUGGAAAUUCUUGAUAUAAAUACUUGUACAUAUGAUUUGUACUUCUGCUGAGAUUUCCUAGUGUCAAAAUUAAAUCAAUAAAACCAAGCAUUUGUCUAAAUA